UGCUAGCUGUGGAGGUCCUGUUUAUGACGUGCGUCUCGCGGGCCCCGAGGAAUCGCUUCAUGACGUCAUCAGAAAGGCUGAAAGCGUGACAGCGCUGCCUGGUGACUACACCUGUAAACAAAUCUGAUGACGUUAGUGACGUCACACGUUGGCUACAGCGUUUAUACUAGUGAUGGGCUAAACUGCGAUUUUCCGAUAUCAGUGAUUUCUGUGAAUGCUACUUUUCAGUAUCUGCUAUUCUUAACUGUGAUUUGUCGCAGUUAAGAGUCGCAGCUGCGAUUUCUGCUACUUCCGCGAUUUCUGUGACUUCUGCUACUUCUGCGAUUUUUGUGACUUAUGCUACUUCUGCGACUUCUGCGAUUUCUGUGACUUCUGCUACUUCUGCGAUUUCUGUGACUUCUGCGAUUUACCACCGUAUGAAAAAGUUACAUCUGCCCACACAGAAAAUUGCAUCUCAACAAAUCUGUCAUUGGUACCCGAACUACAUUUCAGUCACUCAGUAAAUUGAUAACUCAAAAUAUCAUUGUCAACAGAUCUGGAGAAGUUGCCACAGCGUCUUUAGACCGUUUUCGUCAGACGAGAGACACAGUUCUGACUCUUGAUUACUGGUUGCUGUACGUAUCUAUCCACAUUACGGGUAUUGAGGGAGACUCGUGAAGAUUCAAGACAGCUCUUAGAGGAUUUGCAGUUUAAAAGUGACAUAAUUGUGAAAUAAGUGUGCAGAUGAGUAAUUAAAAUGUGUUUUAUUGAAGUUGUUAUGCGUUUUUAAAGGAAUAAUAAAUGUUAA